rnacentral:lncRNA from 1 species
UCAUCUUCUCGACAUUGCUGGAGGAAGGUUCUGGCAUGGACCUUCUGAUGCCCUAGGCUGGAUCCGAACAUGUAUGCUGAAAGGGAUUACUAUGGAGAAUGACGAUUCUCGUAAUCUCCUAGGUCAAAGGACCUUCACAAUCUUAUGUCUUCACGUGCUGUAUGCAACAAUUAGGAACCGUGAUUAUCCCCUUAGACACUUUAUGAUCAACAUAAAAU